CGCGGGGUGGAGAAGUGGUAUCUCGUCGGGCUCAUAACCCGAAGAUCGGGGGUUCGAAUCCCCCCCCCGCUACUA
rnacentral:tRNA from 2 species